AGUUCUCAUUUUUAAGUAAUUGUGAAUCCAUCUCAACAACAAGCAACGUAUCAACAACCGCUUACAGUUCAACAGCCGGUUAUCUUAGUUAAACAUAAUAUAGGAACGGAAAAUGCCGAGAAUUACCGGAUUACAUUACCGUCGAAGGAUCUCAAAGCAGGGGAGCCCUGUCUCACGAUCACUUGGAAGACCAAUCCAGAUGGCACUGGUCCCGAUGAACCACAAAUCUACAUGGGUGAUGGCUACUUCAGAAUAUUGCAAGUAGCCCGAGGACAGAACAGCCAAUAAACAAGAAAACAAUAUUGUAUUUAAUUUACAACUUUUACUGGGCAUUUCCAUUUUUUAAACAUUUACGUACAUUUUUGUUUGUAGUAGGGUUAUAAUUGUAAAGUUUUGACUCCAAGGGGAUAAAUCAAAAGACCCUUCAUCAAAUUAAAUAUAGAAUCAGAGUGAGUGGUAGUGGUUAACAAAUUGUAUAGACAGUAUUUUUGAAGUAUUUUAUUUUAACUAAAUUUACGCGUUUUAUAUUUGCAUAUAUCCAUUGGUAAAAAGAAGUGCAGUAAUAAACUCAAUUUUGGUAAGCCACUCCAAUCUUUAUCGCCUAUAACUCCCACCGCCACCUACUCUCUGCUGAUUUUUUAUUUGACAAAAUAAUUGUACACUGACCCAUUGCGCUUCGGGGGAGAAGUUGGAUAUUUUGCUCGUAUUUUCAGGGCCCGGUUUUCGCAACACCCAGUCUGGACUCUGGAAUAUCGGUUGGUUGUCAUGACAACUCUGCGCGUGGAGUUUGAAGCCGAGGUUUUGGGAAUGGGGGCAGGUAGUUGCCCAGACAGUAGAAUCCCAAACUACGAAACAACUCAACAAAACUGAACAGAGCUCCCUUUGCAAUUCCCAAACUCCCACUGUCUGUGUCUGCAAGUGACAGAGAUGGAGCGACUACGAUGGAGUGGAAGUGGAGAGAUAGCGGCAGACCAGUCAGAGUCCUGGCAGAGAAAGGGAGAGAGAGAGAGAGAGAGUCAUCCUGGCUGGAUGACUCCAAUUUUGCAGGGCUGCACUUUUCGGGACGACUGCAAAAAAUUUCGCUUUUUUCCAUGCCCAGACUUUCGCUGCAGUUUUCAUUUCAGAGCGCAACUCGAGAAGCAACAUCAAAAUCAACAACAACAACAACAACUGCAUGCCGCAGAUACUGAAAAAAAAUGUGGCGUGGGAGUGUGUUAGUAAUGCUAAUUGACUUACAUUCCUCCAGGGCCCACGGGUGGUAUGAUGAAUAUUCGAAAUCGGCACUUACUAGUCGCAUAUGACCAUCUAUUACUCCACCCGAGAAAUGUUAUCUACAAUGAACUUAUGUAUGUGCAGUUAUUUUAAUAUUAACAAAAAAUACGCUAAAUAACUUCUUUGUUUUCAUUACUGUUAUGAGAUAACAAUUUGCUUUUAAUGAGUGUAUAUAAAUUGUUUUUUUUUUGAUCCAGGGAUGUUGAUCACUUCAUGUAUGCAUCAUUAAUAUCGCACUAUAUUAAAGUCUUCUAAAUAAGAAAUUGUAAUAUUUCACAACAAGUUAAUUUUUUUAAGAAACUAGUUAAGCUAUUAAACUAAAUUAUAAAAUAGGAUACCCCAUCUUAAAUAUAAUCGAUAUCGAUUAUUACUCAUCAAAUGUCAUAAUAAUAAUGGAAAUCAAAACC
ensembl:ncRNA lncRNA:CR32194 long non-coding RNA:CR32194